rnacentral:rRNA from 1 species
UAGGGAAUUUUCGGCAAUGGGGGAAACCCUGACCGAGCAACGCCGCGUGAGGGAUGAAGGUUUUCGGAUCGUAAACCUCUGUCUUUGAGGACGAUAAUGACGGUACUCAAGGAGGAAGCCCCGGCUAACUACGUGCCAGCAGCCGCGGUAAUACGUAGGGGGCGAGCGUUGUCCGGAAUUACUGGGCGUAAAGGGCGUGUAGGCGGCCUGUUAAGUCAGGCGUGAAAACCCCGGGCUUAACCUGGGGAUUGCGUUUGAAACUGGCGGGCUUGAGGGCAGGAGAGGAAAGUGGAAUUCCCGGUGUAGCGGUGAUAUGCGUAGAUACCGGGAGGAACACCAGUGGCGAAGGCGGCUUUCUGGACUGCACCUGACGCUGAGGCGCGAAAGCCAGGGGAGCGAACGGG